GGGGGCGUAGCUCAGAUGGUAGAGCGCUCCCUUAGUAUGAGAGAGGUACGGGGAUCGAUACUUCACACCUCCA
rnacentral:tRNA from 1 species